UCAAAGUAAAGGUAUACUAAAGAUUUCAGCUGUCCCUGAACUAACUGAUGUGAAUACUGGAAAACCAAUACCUCUCUCUAGUUCUUAUUUUCAUAGAGAGAAAUCGAAUAUUUUCAGUCCACAGGAAUUGCCAGGUAGACAUGUAACUGAAGAUGUGCUGAAGGUUUCAACAAUUCCUAGACCAGCUGGCCAGAAAACAGUAUUACCAACAGCUCUUCCUAGUUCCUUUACACAUCGAGAGAAACCAGAUAUUUUCUAUCAAAAGGAUUUGCCAGAUAGACGUCUAACUGAAGAUGCUCUAAAGAUCUCAAGUGCUCUUGGGCAAGCUGAUCAAAUUACUGGAUUACAAACAGUUCCCUCUGGUACUCACUCACAUGGUGAGAAUCACAAGCUUGUUUCAGAACAUGUCCAAAGGCUAAUAGAUAAUUUGAAUUCUUCUGACUCCAGUGUUAGCUCAAAUAAUGUGCUUUUAAAUUCUCAGGCUGAUGACAGAGUUGUAAUAAAUAAACCAGAAUCUGCAGGUUUUAGAGAUGUUGGCUCUGAAGAAAUCCAGGAUGCAGAAAAUAGUUCUAAAACUCUUAAGGAAAUUCGAACACUUUUGAUGGAGGCAGAAAAUAUAGCACUGAAACGAUGUAAUUUUCCUGCUCCCCUUGCCCCUUUCAGAGAUAUUAGUGAUAUUUCAUUUAUACAAUCUAAGAAGGUGGUUUGCUUCAAAGAACCCUCUUCCACGGAUGUAUCUAAUGGUGAUUUGCUUCAGAGACAGCCAUUCACAGAGGAAAGCCCAAGCAGCAGGUGCAUACAGAAGGAUAUUGGCACACAGACGAAUUUGAAAUGCCGGCGAGGCAUUGAAAAUUGGGAGUUUAUUAGUUCAACUACAGUUAGAAGUCCUCUACAGGAAGCAGAGAGCAAAGUCAGUAUGGCAUUAGAAGAAACUCUUAGGCAAUAUCAAGCAGCCAAAUCUGUAAUGAGGUCUGAACCUGAAGGGUGUAGUGGAACCAUUGGGAAUAAAAUUAUUAUCCCUAUGAUGACUGUCAUAAAAAGUGAUUCAAGUAGUGAUGCCAGUGAUGGAAAUGGUUCCUGCUCGUGGGACAGUAAUUUACCAGAGUCUUUGGAAUCAGUUUCUGAUGUUCUUCUAAACUUCUUUCCAUAUGUUUCACCCAAGACAAGUAUAACAGAUAGCAGAGAGGAAGAGGGUGUGUCAGAGAGUGAGGAUGGUGGUGAUAGCAGUGUAGAUUCACUGGCUGCACAUGUGAAAAACCUUCUGCAAUGUGAAUCCUCACUGAAUCAUGCUAAAGAAAUACUCAGAAAUGCAGAGGAAGAGGAAAGCCGGGUACGAGCACACGCCUGGAAUCUGAAGUUCAAUUUAGCACAUGAUUGUGGAUACUCCAUUUCAGAAUUAAAUGAAGAUGACAGGAGGAAAGUAGAAGAGAUCAAGGCAGAGUUGUUUGGUCAUGGAAGAACAACUGACUUGUCCAAGGGUUUACAGAGUCCACGGGGAAUGGGAUGCAAGCCAGAAGCUGUAUGUAGUCACAUUAUUAUUGAGAGCCAUGAAAAAGGAUGUUUCCGGACUCUAACUUCUGAACAUCCACAACUAGAUAGCCACCCUUGUGCUUUCAGAUCUGCUGAACCCUCAGAAAUGACCAGAGGACGGCAGAGCCCAUCAUCAUGCAAGCACGUCAACCUUUCUGCAUCCUUAGACCAGAACAACUCCCAUUUCAAAGUUUGGAAUUCCUUGCAGUUAAAAAGUCAUUCCCCAUUUCAAAACUUUAUACCUGAUGAAUUCAAAAUCAGCAAAGGUCUUCGAAUGCCAUUCCAUGAAAAGAUGGACCCUUGGCUGUCAGAAUUAGUAGAACCUGCUUUUGUGCCACCUAAAGAAGUGGAUUUUCAUUCUUCAUCACAAAUGCCAUCCCCAGAACCCAUGAAAAAGUUUACUACCUCCAUCACUUUUUCAUCUCACCGACAUUCUAAAUGCAUUUCCAAUUCCUCUGUUGUUAAGGUUGGUGUUACUGAAGGUAGCCAGUGUACUGGAGCAUCUGUGGGGGUAUUUAAUUCUCAUUUCACUGAAGAACAAAAUCCUCCUAGAGAUCUUAAACAGAAAACCUCUUCCCCUUCAUCAUUUAAAAUGCAUAGUAAUUCACCAGAUAAAGAAGUGACUAUUUUAGCAGAAGGUAGAAGGCAAAGCCAAAAAUUACCUGUUGAUUUUGAGCAUUCUUUUCAGGAAGAAAAACCCUUAGAAAGAUCAGAUUUUACAGGCAGUCAUUCUGAGCCCAGUACCAGUGCAAAUUGUAGCAAUUUCAAGGAAAUUCAAAUUUCUGAUAACCAUACCCUUAUUAGCAUGGGCAGACCAAGUUCCACCCUAGGAGUAGGCAGAUCGAGUUCCAGACUAGGAGUAAAAGAGAAGAAUGUAACUAUAACUCCAGAUCUUCCUUCUUGCAUUUUUCUUGAACAACGAGAGCUCUUUGAACAAAGCAAAGCCCCACAUGUAGAUGACCAUGUGAGGAAACACCAUUCUCCCUCUCCUCAACAUCAGGAUUAUGUAGCUCCAGACCUUCCUUCUUGCAUUUUUCUUGAACAACGAGAACUCUUUGAACAGUGCAAAGCCCCAUAUGUAGAUCAUCAAAUGAGAGAAAACCAUUCUCCCCUUCCUCAAGGUCAGGAUUCUAUAGCUUCAGACCUUCCUUCUCCCAUUUCGCUUGAACAAUGCCAAAGCAAAGCACCAGGUGUAGAUGACCAAAUGAAUAAACACCAUUUUCCCCUUCCUCACGGUCAGGAUUGUGUAGUGGAAAAGAAUAAUCAACAUAAGCCUAAAUCACACAUUUCUAAUAUAAAUGUUGAAGCCAAGUUCAAUACUGUGGUCUCCCAGUCAGCCCCAAAUCACUGUACAUUAGCAACAUCUGCAUCUACUCCUCCUUCAAAUAGAAAAGCACUUUCUUGUGUUCGUAUAACUCUUUGUCCCAAGACUUCUUCCAAGUUGGAUAGUGGAACUUUAGAUAAAAGAUUCCAUUCAUUGGAUGCUGCUUCUAAAGCGAGGAUGAAUAGUGAGUUUAACUUUGACUUACAUACUGUAUCUUCGAGAUCACUGGAACCAACCUCCAAAUUAUUGACCAGUAAACCUGUAGCACAGGAUCAAGAAUCUUUAGGUUUUCUAGGACCUAAAUCUUCACUGGAUUUCCAAGUCGUACAGCCUUCUCUUCCAGACAGUAACACUAUUACUCAGGACUUGAAAACCAGACCUUCUCAGAAUAGCCAGAUAGUAACCUCAAGGCAAACACAAGUGAACAUUUCAGAUUUCGAAGGACAAUCCAAUCCAGAGGGGACCCCAAUAUCUGCAGAUCGAUUACCAGAGAAGAUGAAGACUCCACUUUCUGCUUUCUCUGAAAAAUUGUCAUCUGAUGCAGUUACUCAGAUAACAACAGAAAGUCCAGAAAAGACCCUAUUUUCAUCUGAGAUUUUUAUUAAUGCUGAAGAUCGUGGACAUGAAAUUAUAGAUCCUGGUAACCAUAAGCUACGCAAAGCUCCUGUCAAGUUUGCCUCAUCAUCUUCAGUCCAACAGGUUACUUUUUCUCAUGGCACAGAUGGCCAGCCUUUAUUAUUGCCAUAUAAGCCUUCUGGUAGUACGAAGAUGUAUUAUGUUCCACAAUUAAGACAAAUUCCUCCAUCUCCAGAUUCCAAAUCAGAUACCACCGUUGAAAGCUCCCAUUCAGGAUCCAAUGAUGCCGUUGCUCCAGACUUCCCAGCUCAGGUGCUAGGCACAAGAGAUGAUGACCUCUCAGCCACUGUUAACAUUAAACAUAAAGAAGGAAUCUACAGUAAGAGGGUAGUGACUAAGGCAUCCUUGCCAGUGGGAGAAAAACCCUUGCGGAAUGAAAAUGCAGAUGCCUCAGUUCAAGUGCUAAUCACUGGGGAUGAGAACCUCUCAGACAAAAAACAGAAAGAGAUCCACAGUACAAGGGCAGUGACUGAGGCUGCCCAGGCUAAAGAAAAAGAAUCUUUGCAGAAAGAUACUGCAGAUUCCAGUGCUGCUGCUGCUGCAGAGCACUCAGCUCAAGUAGGAGACCCAGAAAUGAAGAACUCGCCAGACACUAAGGCCAUUACACAGAAAGAGGAGAUCCAUAGGAAGAGGACAGUUCCCGAGGAAGCCUGGCCAAACAGUAAAGAAUCCCUACAGAUCAAUAUUGAAGAGUCCGAAUGUCAUUCAGAAUUUGAAAAUACUACCCGUUCUGUCUUCAGGUCAGCAAAGUUUUACAUUCAUCAUCCCGUACACCUACCAAAUGAUCAAGAUAUUUGCCAUGAAUCUUUGGGAAAGAGUGUUUUCAUGAGACAUUCUUGGAAAGAUUUAUUUCAGCAUCAUCCAGACAAACAUAGAGAACACAUUUGUCUUCCUCUUCCUUAUCAAAACAUGGACAAGACUAAGACAGAUUAUACCAGAAUAAAGAGCCUCAGCAUUAAUGUGAAUUUGGGAAACAAAGAAGUGAUGGAUACUACUAAAAGUCAAGCUAGAGAUUAUCCAAAAUAUAAUGGACAAAUUAAUGAUCCAAAAAAGGAUCAGAAGGUCACCCCAGAGCAAACAACUCAGCACACUGUGAGUUUGAAUGAACUGUGGAACAAGUAUCGGGAGCGACAGAGGCAACAGAGACAGCCCGAGUUGGGUGACAGGAAAGAACUGUCCUUGGUGGACCGACUUGAUCGUUUGGCUAAAAUUCUUCAGAAUCCAAUCACACAUUCUCUCCAGGUCUCAGAAAGUACACAUGAUGAUAGCAGAGGGGAACGAAGUGUGAAGGAAUGGAGUGGUAGACAACAGCAGAGAAAUAAGCUUCAGAAAAAGAAGCGGUUUAAAAGCCUAGAGAAAAGCCAUAAAAACACAGGAGAGCUUAAAAAAAGCAAGGUACUUUCUCAUCAUCCAGCUGGGAGGUCUAAUCAAAUUAAAAUUGAACAGAUUAAAUUUGAUAAAUAUAUUCUGAGUAGACAGCCAGGUUUUAAUUAUAUAAGCAACACUUCUUCGGAUUGUCGGCCCUCAGAGGAGAGUGAGCUGCUCACAGAUACUACCACCAACAUCCUUUCCAGCACCACUUCUCUUGUCGAAUCAGAUAUAUUGACGCAAACAGAUAGAGAGGUGGCUCUGCACGAAAGGAGUAGCUCUGUUUCCACUAUUGACACUGCCCGGUUGAUUCAAGCUUUUGGCCAUGAAAGAGUAUGCUUGUCACCCAGACGAAUUAAAUUAUAUAGCAGCAUCACCAACCAGCAGAGGAGAUACCUUGAGAAGCGGAGCAAACACAGCAAGAAAGUGUUGAAUACAGGUCAUCCCCUAGUGACUUCUGAGCACACCAGAAGGAGACACAUCCAGGUAGCAAACCAUGUGAUUUCUUCUGACUCUGUUUCCUCUUCUGCCAGUAGUUUCCUGAGAUCGAACUCUACUUUUUGCAACAAGCAAAAUGUACACAUGUUAAACAAGGGCAUACAAGCAGGUAACUUGGAGAUUGUGAACGGUGCCAAAAAAAACACUCGAGAUGUUGGGAUAACUUUCCCAACUCCAAGUUCCAGCGAGGCUAAAUUGGAAGAGGACAGUGAUGUGACUUCUUGGUCAGAAGAAAAACGUGAAGAGAAAAUGCUCUUUACCGGUUAUCCUGGGGACAGAAAGUUAAAAAAGAACAAGAAGAAUUCCCAUGAAGGAGUUUCCUGGUUUGUUCCUGUGGAAAAUGUGGAGUCUGGAUCAAAGAAGGAAAAUGUACCCAAGACUUGUGGCCCUGGCAUCUCCUGGUUUGAACCCAUAACCAAGACCAGGCCGUGGAGGGAGCCACUGCGGGAGCAGAACUGGCAGGGGCAGCACCUGGACAGUCGGAGCUCCCUGGCAGGCCCAGUAAGAGAGGAUGGCAGAGACCUACUGAAGCCAUUUGUGAGAGCAACCCUGCAGGAAUCGCUUCAGUUUCACAGACCUGACUUCAUCUCCCGCUCUGGGGAGCGGAUAAAGCGCCUGAAGUUAAUAGUCCAGGAGAGGAAGCUUCAGAGCAUGUUACAGAGCGAGCGGGAUGCACUAUUCAACAGUGACAAGGAACGGCAGGGCCACCAGAAUCGCAUGCGCCCGCUGCCCAAGAGAGUCUUCCUGGCUAUCCAGAAGAACAAGCCUAUCAGCAAGAAGGAAAUGAUUCAGAGGUCCAAACGGUAAGACCAAGAAAACAAGAGUACGUAUACAAGUGUAAACCAGGCCACCGAGUGGUCAGGAGCUCUGGCUUGCACCUAGAAUAAAGGCAUUAUGCUCAAGUUUAAACAUUAUGAGAAAGUUGUGAGAAUCAUUUCUCACUUAUGGCACUGGAAAAAAAAAUAGCACAUCAUGGUAUGAAUGACUCAUAUGCAAAAGAUGAAAAACUGCUCACUAAUGUGCAUGUCUUAGGCUCCUCUUUAUUAGAAACCUAAAUGUAAAUAAAGAAUAUUUUAGGCCAGGUGCGGUGGCUCAAGCCUGUAAUCCCAGCACUUUGGGAAGCCGAGGUGGGCGGAUCACUUGAGGUCAGGAGUUCAAGACCAGCCUGGCCAACAUGGUGAAACCCCGUCGCUACUCAAAAUACAAAAAUCAGCCCAGUGUGGAGGUGCAAGCCUGUAAUCCCAGCUACUCAGUAGGCUGAGCCGGGAGGAUCCUUGAACCUGGGAGGCAGAGGUUGCAGUGAGCUUAGAUGAUGCCACUGUACUCCAGUCCGGGUGACAGAACGAGACUCCAUCUC
rnacentral:sRNA from 1 species